AUACCUUUACUAAAAAAUAAAACACUUAUAGAAUCAGGUAUUGAGGAUAAAAAAUAUAAAACACAACUCAGGUAUUCGUUACUUUUAUGUAUAUUAAACUUAAUAAACAGUUGCAUUGUUAACAGUUUCCACAAGAGCACCCAUUUACAAACCAUACAAACACUCAUACAUUCGUCAUAAUUACCUAAAUAUAUAUAAUAACAGAUAGUUGCCAAUUUCAGACGCUAGGUAAAUUAAUAACUAUGUAUAGCCAAUAACCCAACAACUAGCCACUUUACCAAAAUAUCACAUGAAAUAUCAAUACAGUUUAUUCGAAUAUUAUCUCUGUAAAAAAAAUAACUCAAAAACAUACUUAAGUGUCCACCUAUGUGGCAUUUGUUUCGACAUAUUGACAGUUGGUUUUGAUUAGACUUAUGUUGACUGGGAUAUAGACCGUGAUUACCUUUUUAAUUUUUAUUGAGGUAAUCACGGUAUAUAUAAUGAAACUAACCGUGAAUCAUUUAAAACUAUUAGUGGAUUUUGAUAUUUUCAUAAGUGGCUAGUUAUUAAAUUUGUAUACACUACAUAACAUCUUAAUAACAAAGAAAUGCAGCAACAUAUUCUAGCGUUAAUUUUGAUAAUUUUGUCAAUGAAAAAACUAGAAAUUAAAUUGUUGCUGCAGUCUGAAUAUGUUUCAAUGAUCCAGUAAAAUGAUAUAAUGUCAUACACUUAUAGCAUAAAAAUGCAUUGUUUUAUAACUAAGUACAAGGAACUAGUGUAAUUAUGGCAUCGAAACUGAAGAUGUCUCCACUAGGUGUAUAUUUAAGGUAAGACGGGUUUCCGCCAGGAAACUCGAAAACCGGACACCCUAAGGAAAAACCUUCAAUGUUUUAAGCAAGGCCUUCACAAGCAUAGCUACAAAAAAAUAUUAAAG